rnacentral:rRNA from 1 species
AUUGAACGCUGGCGGAAUGCUUUACACAUGCAAGUCGAACGGUAGAGGGGGCAACCCCUCGAGAGUGGCGAACGGGUGAGUAAUAUAUCGGAACGUGCCCAGUCGUGGGGGAUAACGUAGCGAAAGUUACGCUAAUACCGCAUACGAUCUAAGGAUGAAAGCGGGGGAUCGCAAGACCCCGCGCGAUUGGGGCGGCCGAUAUCAGAUUAGGUAGUUGGUGGGGUAAAGGCUCACCAAGCCAACGAUCUGUAGCUGGUCUGAGAGGACGACCAGCCACACUGGAACUGAGACACGGUCCAGACUCCUACGGGGGGCAGCAGUGGGGAAUUUUGGACAAUGGACGCAAGUCUGAUCCAGCCAUUCCGCGUGCAGGAUGAAGGCCCUCGGGUUGUAAACUGCUUUUGUACGGAACGAAAAGGUCUCUCUUAAUACGGGGGGCUCAUGACGGUACCGUAAGAAUAAGCACCGGCUAACUACGUGCCAGCAGCCGCGGUAA